AUUGAACGCUGGCGGAAUGCUUUACACAUGCAAGUCGAACGAUGAAGUCUAGCUUGCUAGACGGAUUAGUGGCGAACGGGUGAGUAAUAUAUCGGAACGUAUCCAAUAAUGGGGGAUAACUAGUCGAAAGAUUGGCUAAUACCGCAUCCGUCCUACGGGAGCAAGCUGGGUAUCGUAAGACCUGGCGUUAAUGGACCGGCCGAUAUCUGAUUAGCUAGGUGGUGAGGCAAAGGCUCACCAAGGCGACGAUCAGAAGAUGGUCUGAUAGGACGACCAGCCACACGGGAACUGAGACACGUUCCAGACUCCUACGAGAGGCAGCAGUGGGGAAUUUUGGACAAUGGGCGAAAGCCUGAUCCAGCCAGUCCGCGUGAGUGAAGAAGGCCUUCGGGUUGUAAAGCUCUUUCGCAAGGGAAGAACACUUACUUAAUAACACUAAGUGAGGUUGACGGUACCUUGAUAAGAAGCACCGGCUAACUACGUGCCAGCAGCCGCCGUAAAAC
rnacentral:rRNA from 1 species